rnacentral:tRNA from 1 species
AUGGGACAUAGCAUAAAUAAUGUAUUUCGCUUACACUGAAAUGAUGGGUCUACGAUGAGCCUGUCCC